ensembl:lncRNA
AUGGUGUGUGUGUCGCUGUCAGGUUCUCCUGGGGAGAGUUCUAGUGAUGUCGAGUGUUGUGUGUCUGCAUCUGCACUGUGUGUGUGUGUGUGUAAUGAGAGGGAUAUCCUCUUGGAGACUCCUGUCUGGCAAGAGCUGGAAACAGAUCAUCACCUUGUGGACCUGAUAUCAACAGAGAGAGAGAGAGAGAGAGAGUGUGAAAAACAAGGAAAGAGAGAUGCUCCAUUUUACAAUCGACUGAAGAAAAGAAAUAUCAACCAUCGAGAUGAAAUUAAAAUAAUUAGAGACUUCAAAUUCACUUAUCAGGUGCAUGAAGGCCCAAUUAGGACAGUAUAUGCAAAAGGCCGGGCACUGAAGAGUGAAGCUGAAUGUCAGAGCCUGGUUGCAUGUGACAAAUGGCAAGAGUCCUGUCCCACUGGAAAUGAACUGGGAGCUCAUGGUUACCACUGUACCAUGUCAAAUUGUCUUUAG